UACGUAGGGGGCUAGCGUUGUCCGGAAUCAUUGGGCGUAAAGAGCGUGUAGGCGGUCCGGUAAGUCCGCUGUGAAAGUCGGGGGCUCAACCCUCGAAUGCCGGUGGAUACUGUCGGGCUAGAGUGCGGAAGAGGCGAGUGGAAUUCCUGGUGUAGCGGUGAAAUGCGCAGAUAUCAGGAGGAACACCUAUUGCGAAGGCAGCUCGCUGGGACGUUACUGACGCUGAGAUGCGAAAGCGUGGGGAGCAAACAGG
rnacentral:rRNA from 1 species